UACAGAGGGGGCAAGCGUUGUUCGGAAUUACUGGGCGUAAAGGGCGCGUAGGCGGCCUGCUAAGUCGAACGUGAAAUCCCCGGGCUCAACCCGGGAACUGCGUCCGAUACUGGCAGGCUUGAAUUCGGGAGAGGGAUGCGGAAUUCCAGGUGUAGCGGUGAAAUGCGUAGAUAUCAGGAGGAACACCUAUUGCGAAGGCAGCUCGCUGGGACGUAACUGACGCUGAGACGCGAAAGCGUGGGGAGCAAACAGG
rnacentral:rRNA from 1 species